CCAUCAAAUCACACUUACUAAACAUCCAAAUAUGGACAGUACUAUUCUAGAUUUAAUAUCCAAAGCUAUGUCCUCUGGCACCUUAGAAGCUAAUUCAGGCAUUUUCAGUUAUUAUUUUAAAAUGUCAAGAGUUAAACAGUAUUGGUAUGGAAUUCUCAGAGACGAAUCUAUAGACAGUGAGAGGGGAGAUACUGUAGCAUAAUGAGAAAUGAAGAAACUAAAACUAUGAAUGGGAAGUAGAUUAGGGUCUUAACCCCUAUAUAACUUGAAAACUUUUAGGUUAAAUUAGGGAGAAAUAAAUAUACAGAUAGAUAGGUAGGUAGAGAUAGAUAGAUAGAUAGAUAGAUAGAUAGAUAGAUAGAUAGAUAGAUAGAUAGAUAGAUGGAUGGAUGGAUGGAUAAUGGAUGGAUGGAUGGAUGGAUGGAUGGAUGGAUGGAUGGAUGGAUGGAUGGACAAGUAGACAAAGAGAGAAAUAAAUGGACACAUAGACAGGCAGAUAAAUGGUGGAUAGAGAGAUGAAUAGAAAGCUAGAUAGUGUAAGGUAGGAGGAGAGAUAGUCCACUUUGAGCCGAGAGAGCAGUCUCUGACAGAGACUAACUGAAGAGGGAGUAGGGGAGGAGCAAGAAGAAAAAACUGAAAAUUCCAAGAGAGAAUCAGAAGCUGAGAGGUCCAACCUGAGGGAAGAGGUAGAUCUCCUAGGUCAUUUUAAUCUAUUCAUGAAGAAGGAAACCUAAUCAGGUUGAGUUCUUAUCUGAUCUCUCAUUCUACUAUAUUUCCAAAAUUCCACCAUAUCCUUACCAGAGACUUUUACAGCUGAAUCCAAAAGGCACUUCAGAGUGAAGCAUGCCAUUAUUUAACCUGUGAUAUAGAUCAACCAACUGUGUGCCAGAUACUGAGAAUAUAAAGAUGAAAAUGAAAAAAAGUUCUUUUCCUCAAGGAGUGUUCAUUAUAUAACACACAAAGUUAACAUGACUGCAGUCUAGAUGCAGGACUCUUCCUUUUCACCUACCGAUAUAGACUACUUCAAAAGGCCAAAAGAACCAAAUUCAUAUGAACAAAGGAAUUCCACAGUAGGGUGCAGCACUGAAGGAAAUGGGACUUCCGGGUAAACAUGGCUGCAAUCUAGACGUGAAUCACUUCCACUUCCGGGCACCGAACGAAAUAGACUACCUCAAAAGAGAAUAAAAAUCAUCUUUGGAAGAACGGAGGGACUCUCCAGCACCUCGCAGAAAUGAAGCACUUAGCACAGUGGCUGGCAUUGUGGAAGAGGCAUGAAGAAAGAGAGAAUUUGCAGGACAAGCCAGGCAUGCAGACCAAGGUGAAGGACCUGUCUGUCAAUCAAGGCAAAGAUUCCAAACUGAAUGUUCCCAGGAGAGGCAGUUGGACCUGACCAGAGGAGAUGAAUGGAGACUUUGGCUCUCUGGGGUUACUGACCAAGGAAGAAUCCUCUUCUCUGGGUUCCUGACCAAAAGAGACUAGCUUUUUCUGAACUAGGCAGAGAGAGACCUUUGUGGUUUUUUGACAGUCUGGACUUGAAUUACUCAAGCAGAGGUUAUCUGACUGAAGAAGAAAGAAUAUUUAACAGUUGUCUUCCAUCUCUCUGAUUGUCUCUGUGUCACAGCUGUGACAAGACUGACAUUUCCCAAAACCCUCAUAACCCUUCCUUGUAGAUUAGGGACAAACUCACCCCCCUUACCUCAAUUUCCAUCCUGUCCUAUCUUUCUCAAUAAACCUCCUUACCUGAGAAAGAGAACAAAAGCAUCCUCUCUAAACCUCACAGUUCACCUUUGAGUUACAUAGAAAGGUGGCUGACCAACAGGGGGGAGGUGAAAAGGGGAAGGAAGGCAUGGGUGGAAAGCUGGGAGAUGAAGGGUGGCAUUGAGGGAGGAAGAGGAUAGGAAAUAUCUUGAUUUAUUAGCCAUUAGUGAUCAAUAGACAAUCCAAGAGCACCCCUCUAGCAGUAUCUAUCUCUCUAGCAUUAUCUCUCAUCUAUCUCCAUUACAAAUAGGCACCAUGAAGGUCCCCCUUAGCAGCUCUCUAGUCUGCUAGAGUAUAGCAUUUACUGAGUAUAUUCCAGUUACCACAACCAGAAAUAGUUUUCCACAGAUUAUCUAUUCUAUUACAGCACACAGUAUGUAUUUAAUAAAUAUUUACUGACUCCUGAGAUACCUACUACAAAAUUAGCUUUAUAAAUUGCUCGUCCAACAGUACAACAUAAUCUGGGCAAUAGACAGUCUUCAUACACUUGGUUUUCCUGCAUGAAGGCUCAGGCCAAAAACUCUUUUGAAUGAUUAUAGGGCUUUUCCUGGCAAAGAAUUUCUGAGUUCUAGUACUUGAUGCAAUCAGCACAAUGUCAUCUAAAAUCAAGAAAAUCUAGGGUAUCUCACCAUCUACAAGGGCCUGUUCUUCCACUUAAAUUCUGUACCAGAUCUUCCCUAUAACAAUGAUGAUAAUUUAAUUGUACAGACUUUGUUAUAUGGCUCAUCUGACACUUGUAAAGAGCAAAAUGAAAUGACUAAGGAAACAAAAGUUUGAUCUUCUGAGCAUUUUGAUUUAUUAAGCAAUGCAUGCCAACUGCCAAACAAAUCAGAACCAAGCCCCUUCCUCAGCUUAGGGCUGAACCUCAAAUAUGGGACAAAACAGACUUUUAUUAAUUAAUCAGAUAAGAAUAAGACCAACUAAUUAAAAUUAAACAAUACAGCAUUAGAUAAUCUGAUUUCUAAUUGGAAAAAAGAUUAGAGACUUUUCCAAAUUGGGAAGGUGAGAGUGAACAGGUGCAGUUCCCUUAAUUAAUGAAAAGAAGCACCGAUUCCUCCCCAAAUAACAGAACAUGGAAACAAUAACUAAUUGAUCAGUAGGAAGUCAGUUUUCAGAUAAGACAUAUGGGCUGCUUGAGAUGUUCAAUUAUGAGAAAACUUCUUGUAUCAAUCUUUCAAUCUGUGUUUCUGGUCAGCAUAACCCAGGUCCUUAGUUAAGGGUCUCUAACAGUGGAUACAAGUGGUCCAGUUUCCCAGCCAUUCAGGGCUAGGUUCAAACAAGGCAAUAACGUUUUCUCCCAGUUCCCACAAUUGAAUAAAGUAUUUUCACAAGACAGAAUUUGCACUAGAUCUAUAAUUGAACAGAAAAGGAACUAAGCUGUCUCCAGAAAUUAGUCACAAGAUGGAGUCAGUAUGGUUCACUCAAUUCUCACAAUUAACCACUUGCUGUCCUAAUCCCCUCAGUUCCUUACAUUUUUGGGUUCAGAGGACCAAAGAACAAGUUCUUCUUGGUUCUUAUGUCUUUUAAGAAAUCUUGAGAGAUUUUUAUAUUUGGAUGGCAGACAUCUGUAUUGGAAGAAAGUUUUCAUAGCAAAGUUAUACUCUCCUGAAUGUUUUGUUUUUUAAAUAAUAAACAAUCCUGUUCCUUCUACAUCUUUAAAUAAGUUGUGUGAUAGUAAAGCUACAAACAGUGGUAUAGUACCAUUUCUGAACCUUGUCUGCUCCCUACUAAUAUACUCAAGGAAGAUAUCCCUGAUGUAUAUGAUGAUUCUCAGUAAAAAAAUUGAUAAAAAUGGGGAAGCAAGCACAUAAAUACUUUCAGUGAUUUUUCAGCAUUAGUAAAGUUUUAAAUACAUUUUCCCAUCCAUUUGGUAUCUACUUCUUCAGAUAUAUUGUGAAUUGAUCCCUACCCUACACAUACACAGUUAGGACCUAGCACAGAAGGUGGGCUUAAUCUGACUGCUUUCCCCUCUUUGCUCUUUUUAUUGCCACUGCUGCCUCCUCUAUAAGCAUAUCUGGGACUUAAGUGUGGUAGGUCCACCAUCUUUGAUGGUGAAAACAGCUUGUUAUCUUAAAAAACAAAACAACAAAAAAAAACACUUUGUGAAUCUUUUCCAUUUUUCUUCUGCUUGUUUCCCAUUUCCAUCUUAAAUGACUUCAGAAUGACUUUGCUUUAUUUGUUAUCUUGCCAAGCUUUCUUUAAGCUGGUUUUAACCUCCAUUGCUUCCCUCUGUUUUAAGAGGUGACACUGUUUAAAAUCCACAAUAAUGGAAUUACAGAUCUUUUGGAUUCUGAAGUACUUCAACCAUCACAUCUUGCUGCCAACACUAAAGAACUUUCUCCCUAGUGCCCUACUCUUCCAGCUGGUGACUGUUUCUCUUGGAAUACUUCCUUUAGGGAAUCCCCUAGCCAUGCAUCACUUCCCUUCCCCCAAUCAAGUCACAUCCCCCACCAUCUCCACAACAACUAUCUCCACAGACAUAAUCUCCCUUCCCUCUCCCUCUACUCUCCAGUUCUUAGAAUUAUGAUCAACUAUAGAUAGGGUCUGUCAACCUACACCCUUAUGAUGCCAUUCACCAUCCCUAUGAUUUUCAGGCCAAGCUGCUCCUCCCUUAAUACCUUACUUGCUCUGUGUGUUUUUCCCCCACUUGUUUUUAAGCUCCUUGAGAUCAAGAACUGUUUUGUUUUGUUUUGUUUUGCCUUUUUUUUUAAGUAUCCCCAGGACUUAGCAAUAGCAGGUACUUAAUCUACACUGGUUAAUCCAUUUGACUUUUCUUUCCAGCUCUGAUCUAAAAAUUGAUCAUGGAAGGGAAUGUGGAAGCUCUGGGUCCCAAUCCAAUAUCAUCAUAAUUAAUCUUUGAGAUUCUCUCAUUUAUUAAUGAAAGAAUAGAAUUGUAUUAACCAGAAAUCUAACAAAGUUAAUUGAAACACAUAUUUUAAGUUGCUCAAUUUCUUCUACAAUUCCCUGUAGGAAUGUAAGGAAUAAGGAACAGAGAAAAUUAUGAAUUGUCUUUAAGAGGAAAGGAGAAGACUUUAGAUACAAACCCUGGGAGAAGAUUCUUAAAGGAGAGGAGGAUUUGGGGAGGUUUUUAUCGGCAUUAACUGUCACUCCUGAUCUUGCUUUCUACUAAGCUGGUAAGGAGGAUCUUUGCUCUGGUGUCCCUGGGAAAACCUAAUCUUAUGGGAAGGUUAGAGAUUCCUGGGUUAAAGAAUUGCCAUUGGAGAAGACUGCCUUUUCCCUGGAGUACAGAGACCGAUCUGUCUGAGAGCUACCGGUCAGAGAUCAAUUUGGUUAAGGUAAUCCCAAGGGUUUUGUCACCUGAGACUCUGGGUUAUCUAGGAAGCCAACCCCAGGCUUGAGAGGGGAUUCAGGCUAUUAGUGAGUUCUGACUCCUCAGCCUUCUUAAAGACCAUCUGGGUGGUUAGAUUAGCAGAUAGUCAAAUAGCAUUUUGGGGUUUCAGAUAAGAACAGAGAGAGGAUAGGCAGGGCCUAAGGAAGAAAACAAAGAGCAAUCUCUCAUGAGGUGCAUAGAAGUUGGGUUGAGUCUAGAUCUGUAUUGUUAGGACCCUACCUACCUUUUUCUUUAUUCCAAUUAUUAAAAUAAACUUGGUGUCUAUAA